rnacentral:rRNA from 1 species
CCAGACUCCUACGGGAGGCAGCAGUGGGGGAUAUUGCACAAUGGGGGGAACCCUGAUGCAGCGACGCCGCGUGGGUGAAGAAGCGCCUCGGCGCGUAAAGCCCUGUCAGCAGGGAAGAAAAUGACGGUACCUGAAGAAGAAGCCCCGGCUAACUACGUGCCAGCAGCCGCGGUAAUACGUAGGGGGCAAGCGUUAUCCGGAUUUACUGGGUGUAGAGGGGGCGCAGACGGCGAUGCAAGCCAGGAGUGAAAGCCCGGGGCCCAACCCCGGGACUGCUCUUGGAACUGCGUGGCUGGAGUGUCGGAGAGGCAGGCGGAAUUCCUAGUGUAGCGGUGAAAUGCGUAGAUAUCAGGAGGAACACCGGUGGCGAAGGCGGCCUGCUGGACUGCGACUGACGUUGAGGCCCGAAAGCGUGGGGAGCAAACAGGAUUAGAUACCCUGGUA